UACGUAGGGGGCUAGCGUUGUCCGGAUUUAUUGGGCGUAAAGAGCGUGUAGGCGGCCAGGUAGGUCUGCUGUGAAAACUCGAGGCUCAACCUCGAGAUGUCGGCGGAAACCAUCUGGCUAGAGUCCGGAAGAGGAGAGUGGAAUUCCUGGUGUAGCGGUGAAAUGCGCAGAUAUCAGGAAGAACACCCGUGGCGAAGGCGGCUCUCUGGGACGGUACUGACGCUGAGGAGCGAAAGCGUGGGGAGCGAACAGG
rnacentral:rRNA from 1 species